rnacentral:rRNA from 1 species
UGAGUUUGAUCCUGGCUCAGGAUGAACGCUAGCGGCAGGCCUAAUACAUGCAAGUCGAACGAGAUUCUAUUCUUCGGGAUAGAUGAAAGUGGCGCACGGGUGCGUAACGCGUAUGCAACCUACCCUUAACAGGGGGAUAGCCCAGAGAAAUUUGGAUUAAUACCCCAUAGUAUUACAAGAUGGCAUCUGAAAGUAAUUAAAGAUUUAUCGGUUAAGGAUGGGCAUGCGUAACAUUAGCUAGUUGGUGAGGUAACGGCUCACCAAGGCAACGAUGUUUAGGGGUUCUGAGAGGAUGAUCCCCCACACUGGUACUGAGAUACGGACCGGACUCCUACGGGAGGCAGCAGUAGGGAAUAUUGGUCAAUGGGCGAGAGCCUGAACCAGCCAUGCCGCGUGCAGGAAGACAGCUUUCUGAGUUGUAAACUGCUUUUAUAUGGGAAGAAAAAGGCCUUGCGAGGCAAAUUGCCGGUACCAUAUGAAUAAGCACCGGCUAACUCCGUGCC